GAUGAACGCUGGCGGCGUGCCUAAUACAUGCAAGUCGAGCGAACAGACGAGGAGCUUGCUCCUCUGACGUUAGCGGCGGACGGGUGAGUAACACGUGGAUAACCUACCUAUAAGACUGGGAUAACUUCGGGAAACCGGAGCUAAUACCGGAUAAUAUAUUGAACCGCAUGGUUCAAUAGUGAAAGACGGUUUUGCUGUCACUUAUAGAUGGAUCCGCGCCGCAUUAGCUAGUUGGUAAGGUAACGGCUUACCAAGGCAACGAUGCGUAGCCGACCUGAGAGGGUGAUCGGCCACACUGGAACUGAGACACGGUCCAGACUCCUACGGGCGGCAGCAGUCGGGACUCUUCCGCAAUGGGCGAAAGCCUGACGGAGCAACGCCGCGUGAGUGAUGAAGGUCUUCGGAUCGUAAAACUCUGUUAUUAGGGAAGAACAAAUGUGUAAGUAACUAUGCACGUCUUGACGGUACCUAAUCAGACAGCCACGGCUAACUACGUG
rnacentral:rRNA from 1 species